AACUCUGGUAUUGAUUGGUGCUUGCAUCAUGAUUUACAUUUGAGUGAGUGGCGAACUGGUGAGUAACACGUGGGAAACCUGCCCAGAAGCGGGGGAUAACACCUGGAAACAGAUGCUAAUACCGCAUAACAACUUGGACCGCAUGGUCCGAGUUUGAAAGAUGGCUUCGGCUAUCACUUUUGGAUGGUCCCGCGGCGUAUUAGCUAGAUGGUGAGGUAACGGCUCACCAUGGCAAUGAUACGUAGCCGACCUGAGAGGGUAAUCGGCCACAUUGGGACUGAGACACGGCCCAAACUCCUACGGGAGGCAGCAGUAGGGAAUCUUCCACAAUGGACGAAAGUCUGAUGGAGCAACGCCGCGUGAGUGAAGAAGGGUUUCGGCUCGUAAAACUCUGUUGUUAAAGAAGAACAUAUCUGAGAGUAACUGUUCAGGUAUUGACGGUAUUUAACCAGAAAGCCACGGCUAACUACGUGCCAGCAGCCGCGGUAAUACGUAGGUGGCAAGCGUUGUCCGGAUUUAUUGGGCGUAAAGCGAGCGCAGGCGGUUUUUUAAGUCUGAUGUGAAAGCCUUCGGCUCAACCGAAGAAGUGCAUCGGAAACUGGGAAACUUGAGUGCAGAAGAGGACAGUGGAACUCCAUGUGUAGCGGUGAAAUGCGUAGAUAUAUGGAAGAACACCAGUGGCGAAGGCGGCUGUCUGGUCUGUAACUGACGCUGAGGCUCGAAAGUAUGGGUAGCAAACAGGAUUAGAUACCCUGGUAGUCCAUACCGUAAACGAUGAAUGCUAAGUGUUGGAGGGUUUCCGCCCUUCAGUGCUGCAGCUAACGCAUUAAGCAUUCCGCCUGGGGAGUACGGCCGCAGGCUGAACUCCAAGGAAUUGACGGGGGCCC
rnacentral:rRNA from 1 species